rnacentral:rRNA from 1 species
CCUACGGGUGGCUGCAGUGGGGAAUAUUGGACAAUGGGGGCAACCCUGAUCCAGCCAUGCCGCGUGUGUGAAGAAGGCCCUCGGGUUGUAAAGCACUUUCAGUGAGGAAGAACGCCUUGUGGUUAAUACCCAUCAGGAAAGACAUCACUCACAGAAGAAGCACCGGCUAACUCCGUGCCAGCAGCCGCGGUAAUACGGAGGGUGCGAGCGUUAAUCGGAAUUACUGGGCGUAAAGCGCGCGUAGGUGGCUUGAUAAGCCGGUUGUGAAAGCCCCGGGCUCAACCUGGGAACGGCAUCCGGAACUGUCAAGCUAGAGUGCAGGAGAGGAAGGUAGAAUUCCCGGUGUAGCGGUGAAAUGCGUAGAGAUCGGGAGGAAUACCAGUGGCGAAGGCGGCCUUCUGGACUGACACUGACACUGAGGUGCGAAAGCGUGGGUAGCAAACAGGAUUAGAUACCCUAGUAGUC